rnacentral:misc_RNA from 1 species
GCAAACUUGGUCAUUUAGAGGAAGUAAAAGUCGUAACAAGGUUUCCGUAGGUGAACCUGCGGAAGGAUCAUUAAUGAGUUAGGGUUCCCUUCCACAAGGGGCCCGACCUCCCAACCCUCUGUUUACCGAACCUCUGUUGCUUCGGCGGACCCGUCUCACGACCGCCGGAGGACCGCCCCCCCAAGGCGUCCUCUGGCCAGCGUCCGCCGAUAGCCAACCUUCAAAACUCCUGAAUAAAUCAUGUUAUAUGUCUAAGUCUUAUGAUUCAAAUCAAUAAAGCAAAACUUUCAACAACGGAUCUCUUGGUUCUGGCAUCGAUGCAGAACGCAGC